rnacentral:tRNA from 1 species
GGCUGGAGGAGUGAUCGCACUCCUGUCUGCUCCUGGCGGGGGAUGGCUUCUCUCGUGACUUACCCUCUCCUGCAGCACUCACAGGUGCUUCCAUGAAGAGCCUGGACCCAGGAGCAUCUCAGGGAUCCAGAUGUCACACCUGCAAGGAAAGGGGGAGGAGUGGGGCCGGUGGGGGAGGCAGGAGGGCGCUCAGAAAGGUGGGAUAUCCAUUUUGCUUCCUAUCAUCGGGGGCUGCUUCUUGCCAAUGUGGUGUUAGCACUUCUUCUGGCUGGAGGACAGGCCUGGCCUAACACACUGCGUGGUUUAAAUUCUCAAAAAGAGCUUUAGGCAGGCAUACUCAAUAUGGCCUGGCAACUACUUCAGGACAAUUUCAAAUUGUUUGAAAUUAAAUAUCUAAAAAUCUACUGAACUCUAUACAUGAACUCUACUUUGGCCUUGAGUUUUCCUUUGGGUCCUGAUUCAUAACGCUGUUUGAAAUUAAAACUCAAUCUUCCACGCUUUUCCAGAGAGAAGAAGUGAAGUCGCUCAGUCGUGUCUGACUCUUUGUGACCCCACGAACUGUAGCCUACCAGGUUUCUCUGUCCAUGGGGUUUUCCAGGCAAGAAUACUAGAGUGGGUUGCCAUUUCCUUUUGCAGGAGAUCUUCCCAACCCAGGGAUCGAACCCGGGUCUCCCGCAUUUUAGGCAGAUGCUUUACCAUCUGAGCUACCAGGGAAGUCUUUCCAGAAAGAACCAUGCUUAAAGAAUCUCUAAGAGGUUCUUCUGCAAGCACUAUUUUCUAGGUGAAUACUGCAGAUUAUCUUACAAUGCAAGUUCUCAUCUUAUCCCCUCUCUUGCACCUCCCCGAAAUCCUGCCCAUUUUUCAGGAAAGAAGACCGAGACACAGAGACCUCAAUUGGAUCAACUGCCAAAGGUCAUGGGCUGGAGUCAGGCUGACACCUUUGCUCUGUCCCUGGAUCAUCACAUGUUCUGUCCCGGGACGGCAGAAGUGCAGAAAGAGGUGGGAAAAGCCACCGCUGCCCACAGCUCUUUGGAAAACAACAACAACAAAAUUACAUCCUCUAUUUUUGUGUGCUCCUGAUUGUGAUUUUUAAGUUUGCUCUCAUUUUAUCCACCAAGGAUUGACCGUGUUUUCGUAUCGGAAUGAUCCGGUUUGCACAUCAUCUUCAUGAAAAGUUAAGACUUCGUUUUCUCUCCAGAGAGCCUCCUUGCCUGAAAGCGCCCUGGUUCUUUCUCAGCACUGGUCUCUGUCGUCACCGGGGCCCCCUCCCUCUUUGGAGCUGGCCUAUCCCCUCCCACCUUCCCCACCACC